rnacentral:rRNA from 1 species
ACGCUGGCGGCGUGCUUAACACAUGCAAGUCGAACGGAAAGGCCCUGCUUUUGUGGGGUGCUCGAGUGGCGAACGGGUGAGUAACACGUGAGUAACCUGCCCUUGACUUUGGGAUAACUUCAGGAAACUGGGGCUAAUACCGGAUAGGAGCUCCUGCUGCAUGGUGGGGGUUGGAAAGUUUCGGCGGUUGGGGAUGGACUCGCGGCUUAUCAGCUUGUUGGUGGGGUAGUGGCUUACCAAGGCUUUGACGGGUAGCCGGCCUGAGAGGGUGACCGGCCACAUUGGGACUGAGAUACGGCCCAGACUCCUACGGGAGGCAGCAGUGGGGAAUAUUGCACAAUGGGCGGAAGCCUGAUGCAGCAACGCCGCGUGCGGGAUGACGGCCUUCGGGUUGUAAACCGCUUUCGCCUGUGACGAAGCGUGAGUGACGGUAAUGGGUAAAGAAGCACCGGCUAACUACGUGCCA